GCUGAGUGGUGAACUUCCACCAGCCCCUCAGAGAUUCUGUCCCAAAGCCAGAUUGUGCCUGGCUCCAGGGAAAAGAUAUGCAUAUCCGGAACCAGCAACCACUCUGGAUAACAGCAAUCUUCACAUCUUCAGGAUAUUAAAAGAUCAGUGAGAACAAAUCAUAGAUUGUUAAUGUGGAGGAAAUGGUUACUGAGCCACAGCCAAAUUGUAUUGGUCCAACAAUAUCUUAAAACAUGGGCCCAGAUGUUGAUUUUGUGUUGCUGUUGAAAAUGUGAUAACUGUGGACCUGGGACAUGGGAGGAAAGUCCUCGUCCAGCAUCAACACUACUUGGGAUUAUGUUGAAAAGAAUAUGGUUAUAUAGGCAAGCCAAAGUUUGGGCACCCAUGGUCUGGAGGAAUGGAGAGUCCACUAACUGAGAGGAGAGAGGAAGAACUAUUCCUGAUGAUGGGCCAGGAAGCUGGGUGGAAGAAGAAAAGAGAUGAGGCUUUCCUUGAAAGACAAGAUUCCAUAAGACUUGGAUGA
rnacentral:lncRNA from 1 species